GCGGACAGGACACAUCCCAGUGAGCUAGUGACUCCGGAUACCAGCUGUGAAAAAGGGUCUCAUCAUCCUAACAGAGGGGUGGGGACUUAGGUAAGUGCCUUUGAGGACAAGCCGAGGGGCAUGCUCUGCCACCUGGCCCUGGGUGCCAGAAGGUGAGCUUUGAAUUAGAGCUGGAUGCUGGAACAGGCUCUGACCCUUGGGCUCCAGGGAGCAGCCCUUUGUGAGACAGAAGAGAGAAUCCUGACUUGGAGCUCCAGUGUCUGGAUUCCCCACUUUCUGCAGCACUUUCUUUCUUGUGCAGCCUCAUUUCCACACGUGUCCCACUCCCUUUCACCCCGAGUUAACUAUUGGUUUUUCCCUGAGUUGGAGUAUUAGGAAGCCAUUCACCAGGCCAAAUGAAGCACCUAAAAAUAACUGCUCUAGGGUACCAAUACAGAGAAGUUGCCCAUCACACAGAGAAAUAGGUUAUUUUCACAGUUCUUUAACCACCCUUGGAGCACUGUAGUUUUGGGGAACUUGAGGACCUUGGGGCUGGCUGGCAAGUAGAGGACGGGUAGGGCUUUUCUUAGCAGCUGCACACAGCCCCAGGGACUACUGGGGAGGACCGAGGGCGGCUAGACCCUGACCCAAACUGGAAAGCAUCUUGCUAGGUUCCCACUCAUUUCCUACAAGGCAGGAGAACAGGAUCAUUUUCUCUGAGUGAGGGCAAAGCCCAGCGCACACAACUUGGAAAACUCAAUUUAGUCAGCCUGCUUUUUACAUUCCACUCCCUCCCUCUCUUUUGAUUUCAAAAUUGAUAACAAGCCCACCGCUGCGCAUCUUUAUGAUAAUAGUUGCAAAUGAGUACGGUGCUCCCCCUACCCCCUCGACUAGGGAGCGUUUCAAGCAGUCAGUGGCAAGUAACUUCUCAGGAUAACUUCUCCCUGAGAUCUUCCCCCUCCCCUUUUAAUGGUGGGACUUUUCAUAAUGUGCACAAUACUAUUAAAAUUUCAUAUUAGCACUGUGUAUGGUGAACUUUGUAAUGGGAAAUUCAAUAGCUGCUGUAAAUAUUAAUGGAAUAUGAAAUGAAGCCACAGCCUCGACCAGCCCUGACAGUAAAACGGAGUGAGCAUGUGGCGGCCCCGGGGCGAGAGAGGCCUUUCCUCUUGUCGCUCUCGCUUUAUUACAUUAGCGCCGGCCUCCCCACGCCGGCGUGGGCUCAGAAGCCGAGGCGCAAGGGUCACCCAUGACAAAUGUCCCCGUGUCUCGCCAACAGGCCCCGCCUGGCCCUGCCACUCCAUCUGCUCAACAGGCCCCUGGAGAGUGCUUGCGGGUGUCAGUUUCGGGCACAGAGCUCUUGAGAGCGCCAGGUUUCCAAAAAGAUAGCAGUGGUUCGGGUGCCUCCUCAAGUCACCGCUCCCUGGACCUGGGGAGGGGACAAUUCCAAGCGCGUGUGUUAACGAACUCCAAGUAGCGUUCUGGGGUUGAAAGAGGUACUUUGAAAAGUCAGGCUCCCACUCCGGUCUAGAUCCAUGGCCCACCUUCCCCAAGCCCUAUCCCAACCCGACUCUAGUCCGCAGGACCUGUCUCAGAACUCGCCUUAGGCUCUUUUUGCUGACAGCUGCCAUCACCUACAGGGGCCCGGAGCAGUACGGGGGUCGUAAACUGACCCACGGGCGCCGGUUCACUCCGCCCCCAGCCUAAACCAUCCGGGCAGUCGAUUAUCAGAGUUUAGGCCUUGGAGCGGCAAGCGCAGCCUUUUCUCAGUCGGGAAUCUUCCAGAAACCACUGGGGAAUGUGCUGCGUAGACUGCGGGAGAUCCAGUAGUUCUUCCAGCAGCGGAGGGGCAGACCCGGCCUUUUGGAAAUCUGGGGUUCCUGCUGGGGAGGACUGCGCGUAGGCAAACGUAGCCAUCAACACCUUGUGCUGCGAGUUAUUUCUACCGGCUGAGAACGAUCCAGAAUUGAGUGGCAGGCGACGGGUCUGCCUGCUCGCAGUAUUUAUUUUGUACCGACAGCACUUAGGAGACCUUAGUUUCUAGUUGGGACAUUAAUCUCCACUUGUUAGGAGAUCGGCUGUCACCGUUGAGCCUUCCCACUUCUGAAGGCCGAUGGUGUCCCGAGCUCCGAGCUCUGCCACACGCUACCUGGACGGUGGGGACAAGCAAGGCGGUGAGCAAACCGCAGGGGCAAAGCGUGGACACGGCGGGCCCUGCCGCCGAUCGGGAGAUGCCUGGAGGGUGGGGUUGGGGGAGUAAAGGAGCCCAGGACGGUAGCGAAGGGUUCCCCUUCUAUUUUUACCUCGUAGAGAGGGGCGAAAGGGACUCUUUCUUAUUGCAAAGAUGGUUUUUAAGGCAGGACUCUCGGCUCAGAGGCGCAGCGUGCUGGCCGCCGAGUCGCGAGUCCUCCCAUUUCACCGCCACUGACUGCAGAGUCAAUUGCUACCUCCCUUUUACCACCCGUUUAGCUGGGGACGCGUUUCCAUUCCAUCUACCCCCUCCCUCUUUAAAUUGUUUUCUGCCCAGUUUCUCUUCGCUCCCGGAAUCAAUCCAAAGCAGCGCUGCUGCUAUUCCCUCAUUUGCUCUCCGGGUACCCAAACAUCAGGACCCAAAGGAGAGGAAAUAAAGAUAGGAUUGAAACGCUCCAGGGGUUCCCAGGCAGAGAUUGCUUCAACAAGCUAACCCUGUAUUCCAGAUCCCCGGCAUUGCUUCAAGUGUGGUUUGCUGCUGGUCAUGAACCCUUGGCCAGUCUGUCCCUCCUCCUCAGAGAGCUGAGCCUCAGCACUUCUUUGGCGCCACUAAAUGCACCCCAAUCCCCCAACCCCCACCAGGAUCUUGCAACUUUUUCCGCCUUGCCCCUAUAAAAGAGUUACACUUUCUACGAAGACUUAAAAAAAAAAAAGACAAGAAAUGGAUAUAGGUUUUGUAACCGUUAAAUAACUUUCCCAGCGUGUAUUAAAGGAAGAUUGUAUUUUAUCAACAGCUGAUUGAUGCCCGUGUGAUCCUGUCGGUUUGUCUAUAGUAUCAUAUUUAUUUAACCUGCUGGGGGACCGUGUUCCGGGGCAGCCUGUUCACGCUGACAAGAGCGUGCACAUUACACACUACCCCAGGUAUUUUGAUUGAUUGUUCCCACCCUAAAGCCUUUGGUUCAUAAUUUAGCACAGCGGGUUCUGCAUCACAGACUAGGCUAAAAAAAAAAAAAAAAAAAAAAAAAGAAUCCUGUAAGAGAUUUCAAUGAACAACUACUGGCAACAAACCGUUCUCUACCUGAAACCCCCAAAUAUUUUAAUAUCUUAACAAUCACAAAACAUUCAACUCUUAUUUACCCCAUUUUUCAGAAGUGGUAUCAGAGAAUGCAUUUUGAGACUGUGGCUGGACCAGUCAGUAUUUCUUGAACUAGAGUUGAAGUGGUGAGGACACAGCUCCCCCCCCCCCUCUUUUUCUUUCUCUUGCAAUAGCAGGCUUGGGUGCUGAAGGAGCAGGGAGAAAAGAAUGGGCCAUCCCCACAGACGCUUCUCCUGUGUGGCUUUGGAAUGUAGUUCAUAAGGUCUUUUGCUGGAAUUACUACCAUUGUUUAACUCCACGAAUGAACGAGGAGAGGCUCCUUCUUUUGUUUUCCUUCAGAAGACAAACUCUUCAGUGUACCUAAGAAACAUUCAAAAAUAUUUGUGUACUUAAAAAAAAAGUAAACCACCUCAGCUGUCUAGCAAAAAUGUAACCUGAAGUUAGUAAUACCUACUGCAGAAUCCAGCAAAUACUCUCUCUUCUCUUAAGGGAUUUCUAAGAAGGCAGCUUGUUGGCGAAACUUAUUUUUCUGAGCCCCAGCAAAAGCACAUGUUUUACCUCACGUGCAUUUAGCCAAUUGUUUUGGCUGUGAUAAACAUGGGAGACUUCUUCCUGUAUUAUUGUUGUUCUGGCUAGUAAUGGUUUUUUGUUGUUGUUGUUGUUGUUGUUUUUUAAAGGAUGAGAAAACAAGUUUGAAAUGUGUGUUGUUUCCAGUGAUGUAAUGAUGCUGUGUGUGCCUGGUAGUCUUGCAUUUGUCUUUUAGAGAUUCUUGAAGCCUGUAAGGUCAUCUUGGCAGCAUCCUGUAUCUAACCAACCUCCCUCCCCAGACUUUAUUUUGGUAUUCUAGGUUGGAUGGGUUGGCCAUUAUCACAAUGGCCAAUGGCAUGAAUUUCCAGGAUGUAGAUAUGUAGACAUUAAAGAAAGACAUCAAGGGAAUAAUUGUCCUCCCAUAAGUCAAUAUAGGUAAUACAGUGCCCUCCUUCACUUCUUAGGUUAUUAUUGGGGCAAAACAAUUUUUUUAAAAAAAUCUAUCUAGUGAUAAUAGAUACUGGUGAUAGCAAUCAUUAAAACUUCCUUCUUCGUUUCUUCUUCAUUUUUGAAUAUUAUUCAUAGAAGCUAUCUUUGGGCUUGAUGUAUGCGUUUAAAUAAGGAUAAAGACAUUAACCAAGUUUUAUAUCCUCCCAUUUCUAAUUAACAUUUCUUUGAUUGAAUGUCCCUUAUUUUUAAUGCUGCCACUAGAGCCUUUCUUCUAUCAUCACACUUGGGGCAUGUUUGGGAGAUCUCACUGGUAGCCUUUCUUUGCCAGUAAUAUCUUGUUCAGCCACUCUUUUUAUCUCUAGAUGUUGCUAUUUAUCCUUAGAUGAUAUUCAAUGAAAAAGAAAAACUCAGAAUAUUUGAAAACUCCAGGAAAGGCAUCUCUCUGCUGAGAAAACAGCCAUGAUCAAAUGUUAAGUACAGACGCAGUAUUCAGAGAGAAAGACAGGGCACGCUGGCUAAGGAAAUAUUUACCCAGGCCUCCAUGGCAGCCAGGAGCACUAAGGCAGACCAAGUGCAGUGAUGGGAAGGACAGUGGUUUGUUUGUUUGUAGUAAACAACUCUAUGCAAUUUAAUCACUCAUGCUAAGAAAGUAUUGAGGUAGCCUAUGAAUCUAUUUGUGGCCAUUCUUUUUUCUCCCCAAAGCCUUUAGAAAUCAUUGGUUUACAUCCAGAAUGAUCUUUUUCUUCCUUUCUCCCUUCCCCUCCUCCCUCCCUCCUCUCUCUCUCCCUUCCUUUCUUCCCUUCUUUCUGAAACAGUGCCUCACGUAGCAGUGGUUGACUUCUAACUUGAUGUGUCCUUCUGAGGAUGACCUCAGGUUUGGGACCUGUCCUACUUCCUGGGCGGACAGACAUGUGCUAUCUUGCCUUGUUUAUGCGGUGCUGGGAUUGACCUCAGGGUCUGGUGUAUACUCAGCGAGUGCUUUAGAAACUGAGCCACAUCUUGGCUCUGUGGAUAAACUUUUUGAAAAACAAAACAAAACCCUACUAUAAGUGUUCUUUAAUAAUGAAUAAAACCAUCUCGUAGGUUGUUUCUUGAGGAAUUUUUGGAUUAGUUUAAAUAUAUGCUGAUACAUACACAUACAAAUUAACCUCUUUGAAGUCUGGCUUACUUCUUAAUCAUAUAGCUCUGGGCAGGCUACUCCAUUUCUCUGUCCCUGAGUUCUUUUAUGUAGAGAAAUAUUAAUCAUAUCUGUUAUCAGGGAUUGUCAAAAGUGUUAUGUGAACUAACUCCCAGAAGCUCUUAAAACAGAACUGGCAGGCAUAACUCCUAACCACCAAGCAGCUAUUGCUAUAGGCCAUGAUAUACACUGAUGUUUUAAUAUCAUUAUUGAAAAUAUGUUUUUUUUUUCUGGUCACCUGUGAUGUUGUACGACCAGAUGCUAAUUCUCAAACUAAGGAUGAAUUGGUUUAAGCAGCUAAAAAAAAAAAAAAAAGUACUGUGUGUGCUCAAGUCUCAGUGGAACAACACUGCCUCCAAGGAGCGAGACAAUCUUUGUCUGUCUUGUAUCUUAGGUUCAGGACACACUACAUAACCUUAUAUGUAAAGUGAAAGAACAAACUUCAGCUCCAGAAAGUGGUGAGGAUGCCACCAAAAUGUCUGCACACCACAUGCACACUGAGUCACAGAGACUUGGCUGUAAACCCCUCAAGAGCCAAACAGCUAUGUCCUCAUUUCCCAGCCCCGUUCCCCAUUAUUCCAGAAGGACAUCAGCGUACUUCUUUCUCACUCCUGCAAUGUGCUAGGCACCUGCGUCCUCCAUCGCGUACUUGAGUCUCUCUGUUAAUCUUUAACAUGUCAGGGGCAUUUCAGCUUUCUCUGUUAAAAGCAUCCUUUUGUAACAUGUUUUAGAUAUGCACUAUCAGGUUAUGCAAGGUCGAAUUUAUUCCUAGGAGAAGGUGAUAUGUUCUGGCAACGCGUUAGACUGCCAAUUAAAAAC
rnacentral:lncRNA from 1 species